GAUGAACGCUGGCGGCGUGCCUAAUACAUGCAAGUCGAGCGAACGGACGAGAAGCUUGCUUCUCUGAUGUUAGCGGCGGACGGGUGAGUAACACGUGGAUAACCUACCUAUAAGACUGGGAUAACUUCGGGAAACCGGAGCUAAUACCGGAUAAUAUUUUGAACCGCAUGGUUCAAAAGUGAAAGACGGUCUUGCUGCCACUUAUAGAUGGAUCCGCGCUGCAUUAGCUAGUUGGUAAGGUAACGGCUUACCAAGGCAACGAUGCAUAGCCGACCUGAGAGGGUGAUCGGCCACACUGGAACUGAGACACGGUCCAGACUCCUACGGGAGGCAGCAGUAGGGAAUCUUCCGCAAUGGGCGAAAGCCUGACGGAGCAACGCCGCGUGAGUGAUGAAGGUCUUCGGAUCGUAAAACUCUGUUAUUAGGGAAGAACAUAUGUGUAAGUAACUGUGCACAUCUUGACGGUACCUAAUCAGAAAGCCACGGCUAACUACGUGCCAGCAGCCGCGGUAAUACGUAGGUGGCAAGCGUUAUCCGGAAUUAUUGGGCGUAAAGCGCGCGUAGGCGGUUUUUUAAGUCUGAUGUGAAAGCCCACGGCUCAACCGUGGAGGGUCAUUGGAAACUGGAAAACUUGAGUGCAGAAGAGGAAAGUGGAAUUCCAUGUGUAGCGGUGAAAUGCGCAGAGAUAUGGAGGAACACCAGUGGCGAAGGCGACUUUCUGGUCUGUAACUGACGCUGAUGUGCGAAGGCGUGGGGAUCAAACAGGAUUAGAUACCCUGGUAGUCCACGCCGUAAACGAUGAGUGCUAAGUGUUAGGGGGUUUCCGCCCCUUAGUGCUGCAGCUAACGCAUUAAGCACUCCGCCUGGGGAGUACGACCGCAAGGUUGAAACUCAAAGGAAUUGACGGGGACCCGCACAAGCGGUGGAGCAUGUGGUUUAAUUCGAAGCAACGCGAAGAACCUUACCAAAUCUUGACAUCCUUUGACAACUCUAGAGAUAGAGCCUUCCCCUUCGGGGGACAAAGUGACAGGUGGUGCAUGGUUGUCGUCAGCUCGUGUCGUGAGAUGUUGGGUUGAGUCCCGCAACGAGCGCAACCCUUAAGCUUAGUUGCCAUCAUUAAGUUGGGCACUCUAAGUUGACUGCCGGUGACAAACCGGAGGAAGGUGGGGAUGACGUCAAAUCAUCAUGCCCCUUAUGAUUUGGGCUACACACGUGCUACAAUGGACAAUACAAAGGGCAGCGAAACCGCGAGGUCAAGCAAAUCCCAUAAAGUUGUUCUCAGUUCGGAUUGUAGUCUGCAACUCGACUACAUGAAGCUGGAAUCGCUAGUAAUCGUAGAUCAGCAUGCUACGGUGAAUACGUUCCCGGGUCU
rnacentral:rRNA from 1 species